rnacentral:ncRNA from 1 species
GGCCGGGUGUGAGGCUAAUACAAGACUCCCGCAAGGGGGGAAUACGCCCGCCGUCUGACAGCGGUUUUGAGCCCCCGGCCACCCUCUC